rnacentral:rRNA from 1 species
GAUGAACGCUGGCGGCGUGCCUAAUACAUGCAAGUCGAGCGAACAUUUGGGAGCUUUCUCCCACAAGUUAGCGGCGGACGGGUGAGUAACACGUGGGUAACCUGCCUGUAAGACUGGGAUAACUUCGGGAAACCGGAGCUAAUACCGGAUAACAUUUAAGACCACAUGGCCUUCAAUUAAAAGGUGGCGUUUAGCUACCACUUACAGAUGGAUCCGCGCCGCAUUAGCUAGUUGGUGAGGUAACGGCUCACCAGGGCGACGAUGCGUAGCCGACGGGAAAGGUGGAUCGCCGACCUGGGAACGGGACACGGGCCAGGAGCCUAAGGGAAGGAGCAAUAGGGAAACGUCCGGCAGGGGCGGAAGUCUUGAGGAGGCACGCCGGAGGGAGGAAUAAGGGCUUCGGGUCGGGAAGCUCGGGUUUUAGGGAAGAAAAAGUUUCGUUCGAAUAGGGCGGUAUCUUGACGGUACCUAAUCAGAAAGCCACGGCUAACUACGUG